rnacentral:rRNA from 1 species
GCAGUCGAACGGAAACGAUGGGAGCUUGCUCCCAGGCGUCGAGUGGCGGACGGGUGAGUAACACAUAGGAAUCUGCCCAGUAGCGGGGGACAACUUGGGGAAACUCAAGCUAAUACCGCAUACGCCCUACGGGGGAAAGCGGGGGACCUUCGGGCCUCGCACUAUUGGAUGAGCCUAUGUCAGAUUAGCUUGUUGGUGGGGUAAUGGCCUACCAAGGCGACGAUCUGUAGCUGGUCUGAGAGGACGAUCAGCCACACUGGGACUGAGACACGGCCCAGACUCCUACGGGAGGCAGCAGUGGGGAAUAUUGCACAAUGGGCGAAAGCCUGAUGCAGCAAUGCCGCGUGUGUGAAGAAGGCCUGCGGGUUGUAAAGCACUUUCAGUGGGGAGGAAACAGUUGCGGGUUAAUAUCCCGCGACCUUGACGUUACCCACAGAAGAAGCACCGGCUAACUCUGUGCCAGCAGCCGCGGUAAUACAGAGGGUGCGAGCGUUAAUCGGAAUUACUGGGCGUAAAGCGCGCGUAGGCGGCUUGGUCAGUCGGAUGUGAAAGCCCCGGGCUUAACCUGGGAAUUGCAUUCGAUACUGCCUGGCUAGAAUGUAGUAGAGGGAAGUGGAAUUCCGGGUGUAGCGGUGAAAUGCGUAGAUAUCCGGAGGAACAUCAGUGGCGAAGGCGACUUCCUGGACUAACAUUGACGCUGAGGUGCGAAAGCGUGGGGAGCAA